ensembl:piRNA 21ur-12246 ncRNA
GCUGAGAACAGGGGAUUCUUU